UGUGAGAGGCGGUUCCCCAUAUCAGUGCGUAAACCUGUUUGGAGUACAGAUAGCUGAUGCAGUGAUGCUGAGCUGUGGCAGUGACUAUGGAGUGAUACUGUGGAAUGAUAGAUGUGGGAGCUCUUGGCAGUAAUUAGGGAAAUUGGCAGGGCUUGGGGGGAAGAAAGCUGAAAUCUAUUGUGCACAUAAAGAAGAUGAAAACCUGUUGUUGGGAGGAAUAUAAGGGCUUUUAUCUCCCGUAAGUAAGGAGGGAAUUGAAAGCCCUCUGAUGAAGACACAAUUCAAGGCAACAUUUUCAAGAUGUUUGUGGAAAUACAGAACCAGAAUUGCUACUUGGGCUGCAUUGUCCAUCACAAAAGCAAAUCUGGAGGUAAACUCUGAAAUCCUUAUGAAGACAAUGGUGAUAUUAAUGGAGACACUAGGAUCAGGAUCAAGGCCACUAUGGCCAAGACAACAGCUUGCUGAAAUGGCUAUUUUAAAAGCCUGAGGUGAAACAUAUAUAACAGUAUUUUUCUUCUAUGAAAUAAUAAGCAUAUUUCUCUUGUUAAUGAGAAACAAAAUGUUUCUGAACUUGAAUUUUUCAACUGGGUGUAUAGGGUUCCCCUUCCUCCCCUUCCCCCAGUUGCUAUCCUACAUUUAGACAACUAUACAAAGAUUUUCUUUUCAUUUUGCAACAUAUGACAAUAAAUAAAUACCCUUACUUGGAUUAGAGACCAACAAAGAUUACGCUAAUACUUUUGAAUUCAGGAGUAUUCUUCAAAUAAAUCUCUUGAUGUGUAAAAGAAUAUUUCUUCCCUCACUAUCUGCAUAAAAUCUUCCAACAGUCCUAAGAUUUUAUAUAUUUCACUGAUUUCUACAGUGACAUUUUGAUUAUGAAACUUUUUCUGAAGAGAAUUCUGAACUAAGACUAUUUUUUUUAAGACAAUUUGCCCUCAGUGAUGUACUGGACUCAGGUAUGCAUAACUCUAUUGUGCCUUAGUAGAAGGCAGUGGAUGCAAAAAUUCUUUUAGCAUAACUAUCUGCAGAAGUUAUUUGGGCAGAGGUAUUCUACCUUUCAUUUGCAAGGGGCUAAAAUAUUUCUGCACAACUGCACUAACUCAUUAAAAUAUGGCAACAC